CCAUCUAUCCUGUGUUUCCCAUAAAAUUCACUUAUAAGUAAAAAGGCUUAUAAAUCAUGGUAGGACGACAAGACCCUAUAGAACUUUACAAAUCGUUAAACUGGGGCGGUUCACAACAAAAGCUUAAUUACAAACUAUUAACCAAGACCUGAUAAUAUCAAGCAUAGAAACAAGUUACCUUAGGGAUAACAGAGGAAUUUCCUUUCAGAUGAUCUUUAAAAGAAAGAUUCCGACCUCGAUGUUGAAUUAAUAUAACUUUAUAACAAAACGUUAUCUAAGUUGGUCUGUUCGACCAUUUAAAUAUUACAUGAUUUGAGUUCAGACCGGCGAAAGCCAGGUCAGAUUCUAUCCUCCUUAAUCUUAUUACAGUACGAAAGGACCUAACAAGAGAUUU
rnacentral:rRNA from 1 species